AUGGCUGUCGUCAGCUCGUGUCGUGAGAUGUUGGGUUAAGUCCCGCAACGAGCGCAACCCCCGUCCUUAGUUGCUACCAUUUAGUUGAGCACUCUAAGGAGACUGCCGGUGAUAAGCCGCGAGGAAGGUGGGGAUGACGUCAAGUCCUCAUGGCCCUUACGGGCUGGGCUACACACGUGCUACAAUGGCGGUGACAAUGGGACGCUAAGGGGCAACCCUUCGCAAAUCUCAAAAAGCCGUCUCAGUUCGGAUUGGGCUCUGCAACUCGAGCCCAUGAAGUUGGAAUCGCUAGUAAUCGUGGAUCAGCAUCGCCACGGUGAAUACGUUCCCGGGCCUUGUACACACCGCCCGUCACGCCAUGGAAGUGGCGAGCGCCCGAAGUCCGUGUCGGAACCCGCAAGGGGCCAAGCGGCCGAAGGCGAGCGUCAUGACUGGGGCGAAGUCGUAACAAGGUAGCCGUAGGGGAACCUGCGGCUGGAUCACCUCCUUAACGGAGCUGCGAGUAAGGCAGACUUGCUGGGGCAACCCAGGUUACUUGCCGGAAAGCACUCACGUGUCGCUCGUCUCGUAUCAUCCCGAUCUCAAUCUCGAUUUCCAUAUACAAAGAGCCCGAACCACGGCCCGCUAUCGCGGGAAUGAUUCGGGCUCGAAAGAACAAGAGGGACUGCACCUUAAGUCCUUAAGCACCAAGCGACAGAGCGCUUAUAUCUCGAAAGUUUUUUGACAAUGGAAAGUAGUAGUGAUCGUGGGAUUUGAGUGGCUGGACCUGAUAAGAUCUGGCCACUGAGAAUCAACACUAGUGACACAAUUUCAUAGAAGCUCUGACCUAACGGUUGGGGCUCGAUUUGUCUCAAAGAGCUUGUCUAGCUCCGAGAGUCCAAAUGAUUGUAUCACUCGUUAGAUCGCGCGUGUUUCUGUUUGAACAAGUUAUUUGAUCAAGCGAAAGAAAGUAUGUGGGGGAUGCCUAGGUACACAGAGGCGAUGAAGGCCGUGGUAAGCUGCGAUAAGCCAGGGGGAGCUGCACACAAGCUAUGAGCCCUGGAUGGCCGAAUGGGGAAACCCGG
rnacentral:sRNA from 1 species